CAUUUCUCUAGCCAAGACUAAAUUCAGAUUUUAAAAAGCAAUUGAAAACCUAAAACUUCUCAUUUUUGCUCCAUGAAUGCCGAUCACCAUCACCAUCACUUAGUUCAUCAUUUGUUUCAUGGAAUUUGAUGAUGUUAGAGGCCAAAUGAUCAUAAGACAAUGAGGAACCAAGGUGGAAAGUUAUGGUUUUUGGAGCUAAUUUUGGAGUUUUGAUGAUGAAUUCUUGAAGAAAUUGGUUUGGCCAAGAGGUUAAAUUAUCAAGCUCAAGGGAUAGCAUGAUAUUAUUUGGAAAGUCAAGCUUCCGAAGUUUUAAUUCUCGGAAGUCAUUUGCACAAAAAGUGAAAGAAGGUUUUCAUUCUAGCAGUCCGCAGUAGUCUAGAUGUUUUUGUUUAUGUAUUUGACUAGCGCAUUUUAACUCUGAUAUUUUUGUAAAAUAAGGUCACAUGUAUUUUGAUAUAUGAAAAAAAAUGAUUUGAUU